rnacentral:rRNA from 1 species
CAAUAGCGCAUAUUAAAGUUGUUGCGGUAAAAAAGCUCGUAGUUGGAUUUCUGUUGAGAGCGACCGGUCCAUACCAUGUAUGCGUAUCUGGCUUGCUCUCGGCAUCCUCUCGAUAGACGUUACUGCGCUUGAUUGCGUGGUGCGGAUCUCGGGACUUUUACUUUGAGGAAAUUAGAGUGUUCACGGCAGGCUUUCGCCAGAAUACAUUAGCAUGGAAUAAUACUAUAGGAUCUUGGUUCUAUUUUGUUGGUUUCUAGAAUUGAGAUAAUGAUUAAUAGGGACAAUUGGGGGCAUUCGUAUCAACACGUCAGAGGUGGAAUUCUUGGAUUGUGUUGCGACGAACUACUGCGAAAGCAUUUGCCAAGGAUGUUUUCAUUGA